AAAACUCUAAGCGGUGGAUCACUCGGCUCAUGGGUCGAUGAAGAACGCAGCAAACUGUGCGUCAUCGUGUGAACUGCAGGACACAUGAACAUCGACAUUUUGAACGCAUAUCGCAGUCCAUGCUGUUAUGUACUUUAAUUAAUUUUAUAGUGCUGCUUGGACUACAUAUGGUUGAGGGUUGUAAGACUAUGCUAAUUAAGUUGCUUAUAAAUUUUUAUAAGCAUAUGGUAUAUUAUUGGAUAAAUAUAAUAAUUUUUAUUCAUAAUAUUAAAAAAUAAAUGAAAAACAUUAUCUCACAUUUGAAUGUGAAAAACGAAGAGAAAUAUUUUCUUUUUCAAUCAAAUAAUACUGAGAAAUGUCUAGCAUAAAAAAUUGAAAUAUUUUUCAUCUAGAAUUGUCUCUUAUUAAUGAUUCGGAAAUAGAAAAAUCUUGGUUAUGUUAUUAUUCUUCGUUGGUUCGUUAAAAAUGGAUAAAUAAAAACUUUGCAUACAAGAAUUAAUAAAAAUGUUAUAACGAAUUUAAUUAAAUGUUUUAUCAUUAUAUAUAAAGAAUUUAUGGCAAGAUAAAGUUAUAUACAACCUCAACUCAUAUGGGACUACCCCCUGAAUUUAAGCAUAUUAAUUAGGGGAGGAAAAGAAACUAACAAGGAUUUUCUUAGUAGCGGCGAGCGAAAAGAAAACAGUUCAGCACUAAGUCACUUUGUCUAUAUGGCAAAUGUGAGAUGCAGUGUAUGGAGCGUCAAUAUUCUAGUAUGAGAAAUUAACGAUUUAAGUCCUUCUUAAAUGAGGCCAUUUACCCAUAGAGGGUGCCAGGCCCGUAUAACGUUAAUGAUUACUAGAUGAUGUUUCCAAAGAGUCGUGUUGCUUGAUAGUGCAGCACUAAGUGGGUGGUAAACUCCAUCUAAAACUAAAUAUAACCAUGAGACCGAUAGUAAACAAGUACCGUGAGGGAAAGUUGAAAAGAACUCUGAAUAGAGAGUUAAACAGUACGUGAAACUGCUUAGAGGUUAAGCCCGAUGAACCUGAAUAUCCGUUAUGGAAAAUUCAUCAUUAAAAUUGUAAUAUUUAAAUAAUAUUAUGAGAAUAGUGUGCAUUUUUUCCAUAUAAGGACAUUGUAAUCUAUUAGCAUAUACCAAAUUUAUCAUAAAAUAUAACUUAUAGUUUAUUCCAAUUAAAUUGCUUGCAUUUUAACACAGAAUAAAUGUUAUUAAUUUGAUAAAGUGCUGAUAGAUUUAUAUGAUUACAGUGCGUUAAUUUUUCGGAAUUAUAUAAUGGCAUAAUUAUCAUUGAUUUUUGUGUUUAUUAUAUGCACUUGUAUGAUUAACAAUGCGAAAGAUUCAGGAUACCUUCGGGACCCGUCUUGAAACACGGACCAAGGAGUCUAACAUAUGUGCAAGUUAUUGGGAUAUAAACCUAAUAGCGUAAUUAACUUGACUAAUAAUGGGAUUAGUUUUUUAGCUAUUUAUAGCUAAUUAACACAAUCCCGGGGCGUUCUAUAUAGUUAUGUAUAAUGUAUAUUUAUAUUAUUUAUGCCUCUAACUGGAACGUACCUUGAGCAUAUAUGCUGUGACCCGAAAGAUGGUGAACUAUACUUGAUCAGGUUGAAGUCAGGGGAAACCCUGAUGGAAGACCGAAACAGUUCUGACGUGCAAAUCGAUUGUCAGAAUUGAGUAUAGGGGCGAAAGACCAAUCGAACCAUCUAGUAGCUGGUUCCUUCCGAAGUUUCCCUCAGGAUAGCUGGUGCAUUUUAAUAUUAUAUAAAAUAAUCUUAUCUGGUAAAGCGAAUGAUUAGAGGCCUUAGGGUCGAAACGAUCUUAACCUAUUCUCAAACUUUAAAUGGGUAAGAACCUUAACUUUCUUGAUAUGAAGUUCAAGGUUAUGAUAUAAUGUGCCCAGUGGGCCACUUUUGGUAAGCAGAACUGGCGCUGUGGGAUGAACCAAACGUAAUGUUACGGUGCCCAAAUUAACAACUCAUGCAGAUACCAUGAAAGGCGUUGGUUGCUUAAAACAGCAGGACGGUGAUCAUGGAAGUCGAAAUCCGCUAAGGAGUGUGUAACAACUCACCUGCCGAAGCAACUAGCCCUUAAAAUGGAUGGCGCUUAAGUUGUAUACCUAUACAUUACCGCUAAAGUAGAUGAUUUAUAUUACUUGUGAUAUAAAUUUUGAAACUUUAGUGAGUAGGAAGGUACAAUGGUAUGCGUAGAAGUGUUUGGCGUAAGCCUGCAUGGAGCUGCCAUUGGUACAGAUCUUGGUGGUAGUAGCAAAUAAUCGAAUGAGACCUUGGAGGACUGAAGUGGAGAAGGGUUUCGUGUGAACAGUGGUUGAUCACGAGUUAGUCGGUCCUAAGUUCAAGGCGAAAGCCGAAAAUUUUCAAGUAAAACAAAAAUGCCUAACUAUAUAAACAAAGCGAAUUAUAAUACACUUGAAUAAUUUUGAACGAAAGGGAAUACGGUUCCAAUUCCGUAACCUGUUGAGUAUCCGUUUGUUAUUAAAUAUGGGCCUCGUGCUCAUCCUGGCAACAGGAACGACCAUAAAGAAGCCGUCGAGAGAUAUCGGAAGAGUUUUCUUUUCUGUUUUAUAGCCGUACUACCAUGGAAGUCUUUCGCAGAGAGAUAUGGUAGAUGGGCUAGAAGAGCAUGACAUAUACUGUUGUGUCGAUAUUUUCUCCUCGGACCUUGAAAAUUUAUGGUGGGGACACGCAAACUUCUCAACAGGCCGUACCAAUAUCCGCAGCUGGUCUCCAAGGUGAAGAGUCUCUAGUCGAUAGAAUAAUGUAGGUAAGGGAAGUCGGCAAAUUAGAUCCGUAACUUCGGGAUAAGGAUUGGCUCUGAAGAUUGAGAUAGUCGGGCUUGAUUGGGAAACAAUAACAUGGUUUAUGUGCUCGUUCUGGGUAAAUAGAGUUUCUAGCAUUUAUGUUAGUUACUUGUUCCCCGGAUAGUUUAGUUACGUAGCCAAUUGUGGAACUUUCUUGCUAAAAUUUUUAAGAAUACUAUUUGGGUUAAACCAAUUAGUUCUUAUUAAUUAUAACGAUUAUCAAUUAACAAUCAAUUCAGAACUGGCACGGACUUGGGGAAUCCGACUGUCUAAUUAAAACAAAGCAUUGUGAUGGCCCUAGCGGGUGUUGACACAAUGUGAUUUCUGCCCAGUGCUCUGAAUGUCAAAGUGAAGAAAUUCAAGUAAGCGCGGGUCAACGGCGGGAGUAACUAUGACUCUCUUAAGGAAUUCCAUCACUAAGAUGGGUAGCUCCAAUGUUAAGGCUAAGACGCUUGAGUAACAUUAAAUGGCCUCACCUCACGCAAAACGAGGUAGCCAGCUCUUUCCUCGAAGCCGAAAAACAACGGGCCCGAGAUAGAUUAUUAGCUGAACAAAAUGAACUGUUAUCGCGUCCGGCAAUAGAAAAAUAUUGGGCGAACAAGUUGUACCUCUCAGUUGAUGGUAGCGGACUCCGUGAAGCGGGCCAUUAUGGCCCGCAACACGGGUGGGUUAGUCAACCCACGCGUUUAUUAACAGGAAAGGAAUAUAUAGACGGUAUUCGUCUGCGGAUAAAUGCCCUACCCACAAAGUCUCGUACUACAAGGGGAAGGCACGAAUUGGAACGACAGUGUCGUGCAGGAUGUGAUGCUCCCGAAACAACAAACCACAUAAUGCAAAAAUGCUACCGCUCGCAUGGGAGGCGGGUAGCUAGACACAACUGCGUAGUAAAUCGAAUCAAGCGGGGACUUGAGGAGAGAGGCUGCGUGGUCAUUGUUGAACCAAGUCUGCAGUGCGAAUCCGGCCUUAAUAAACCAGACCUGGUGGCACUACGACAAAAUCACAUUGAUGUGAUCGACAUACAAAUUGUGACAGACGGACACUCUAUGGAUGAUGCGCACCAGCGCAAAAUCAAUAGAUACGACA
rnacentral:rRNA from 1 species